rnacentral:rRNA from 1 species
UUAAAUUGAAGAGUUUGAUCAUGGCUCAGAUUGAACGCUGGCGGCAGGCCUAACACAUGUAAGUCGAACGGUAACAGGAAACAGCUUGCUG